rnacentral:rRNA from 1 species
GACGAACCGUGCGAACGUUAUUCGGAAUCACUGGGCUUAAAGCGCGUGUAGGCGGGACGGCACGUCGGUCGCUGAAAGCCCCCGGCUCAACCGGGGAACGGGCGCCGAUACGACCGCCUCGAGGAGCGUAGGGGGACCUGGAACUCGAUCGGUGGACGGUGAAAUGCGUUGAGAUCGGAGUGAACGCCCGUGGCGAAAGCGAGGUCCUGGACGCCUGCUGACGCUGAGACGCGAAAGCCAGGGGAGCGAACGGG